CGCGUAGAUAAUCUACCUUUGGGUGGGGAAUAACUCAGGGAAACUUGAGCUAAUACCGCAUAACAUCGAAAGAUCAAAGCAGGGGAUCGCAAGACCUUGCGCCUGAAGAGGAGUCUGCGUCUGAUUAGCUAGUUGGUAAGGUAAUGGCUUACCAAGGCUUCGAUCAGUAGCUGGUCUGAGAGGACGGCCAGCCACAUUGGCACUGAAACACGGGCCAC
rnacentral:rRNA from 1 species